rnacentral:rRNA from 2 species
UGGAGAGUUUGAUCCUGGCUCAGGAUGAACGCUGGCGGCGUGCCUAAUACAUGCAAGUCGAGCGAAUGGAUUAAGAGCUUGCUCUUAUGAAGUUAGCGGCGGACGGGUGAGUAACACGUGGGUAACCUGCCCAUAAGACUGGGAUAACUCCGGGAAACCGGGGCUAAUACCGGAUAACAUUUUGAACCGCAUGGUUCGAAAUUGAAAGGCGGCUUCGGCUGUCACUUAUGGAUGGACCCGCGUCGCAUUAGCUAGUUGGUGAGGUAACGGCUCACCAAGGCAACGAUGCGUAGCCGACCUGAGAGGGUGAUCGGCCACACUGGGACUGAGACACGGCCCAGACUCCUACGGGAGGCAGCAGUAGGGAAUCUUCCGCAAUGGACGAAAGUCUGACGGAGCAACGCCGCGUGAGUGAUGAAGGCUUUCGGGUCGUAAAACUCUGUUGUUAGGGAAGAACAAGUGCUAGUUGAAUAAGCUGGCACCUUGACGGUACCUAACCAGAAAGCCACGGCUAACUACGUGCCAGCAGCCGCGGUA